rnacentral:rRNA from 1 species
GACGAACGCUGGCGGCGUGCUUAACACAUGCAAGUCGAGCGAUGAAGCACCUUCGGGUGUGAAUUAGCGGCGAACGGGUGAGGAACACGUGAAGAAUCUGCCUUCAACUCUGGGAUAACUCCGGGAAACCGGGGCUAAUACCGGAUAUGAGCCUUGAUCGCACGAUCGGGGCUGGAAAGUUUUUCGGUUGAAGAUGACUUCGCGGCCUAUCAGCUUGUUGGUGAGGUAAUGGCUCACCAAGGCGACGACGGGUAGCCGGCCUGAGAGGGCGACCGGCCACACUGGGACUGAGACACGGCCCAGACUCCUACGGGAGGCAGCAGUGGGGAAUAUUGGGCAAUGGAGGAAACUCUGACCCAGCGACGCCGCGUGAGGGAUGAAGGCCUUCGGGUUGUAAACCUCUUUCAGUAGGGAAGAAGCGAAAGUGACGGUACCUACAGAAGAAGCACCGGCUAACUAUGUGCCAGCCGCCGCUGUAAGAC